UUAGGGUUAGGGCCAGGGGUUAGGGUUGAGGGUUAGGGUUACUUGGGUUGCGGGUUAGGGGUUAGGGUUAGGGUUAGGGUUAGGGUUAGGGUUAGGGUUAGGGUUACCGGGAAACGCACCAGAGGUUGGACGGGUUGGGGGUUAGGUUUUGGGAAAGAAUCCCGUCUCCCCUAAAUUGCCCUACUUGGGUCGGCGGGGAGCGGGGAAUGCACGGGCCUUCGCCCACUGGACACGCUCCCCCGGUCCCAGAAGACACUUAUUUGUGUUAUGAAUUAAAUUGUUUUUAAUAAAUUAGUUUUAGUGUGUUGUGUAAUUCAUAUUUGUUAAAUUAAUCCAUUUUUUUAGGUUUUUAACUGUUGUUUACACACAAACACACAAACAAACAAACAUACAUGAACACUACUUGAACUAUGUAUAUGAUGUGUGCACCGCGACGACGUUUCGACCUAGUUUGGUCUUCAUCAGGUCUAUGCACACAUAAUGGCUGCUGGGCCCCAAUUCAUAGGGGUUCACCCAGCAAGCAGCCAAAAGAAAAUGAAUUUUCCCUGUCCUGUAUUCCCUUUUAUACCCUUUGGACAAGAAAUUAACUGAAUUUCUCUCGGAUAUUUAGUUUAAAUUCAACUUUAUUUAGUUUGUAAAUGUUAACCCUAUAAUCGCUGUUUGGUUUUAAACUGACCAGUAGAGUUAGGGUUAGGGUCAGUAUUAGGGUUAGGGUUCAAAUCCGAGGGUUAGGGUUAGGGUUAGGGUUAGGGUUAAGGCCACGAUUGGGGCUAGAUGGCGCUAGGGUUAGGGUUAGGGCCCUUUCAUAAUGGUUAGGGUUAGGGCCAGAGCCACGGCUGGGGCUAGAAAUGAAUCCCGUCUCUCCUAUAGUGACCCUACUUGGGUCUGCGGGGAGCGGGAUAGCACUAGGGUUAGGGUUAGGGCCCUCAUAAUGGUUAGGGUUAGGGCCAGGUCCACGGUUGGGGCUAGAAAUGAUUCCCGUCUCUCCUAACGUGACCCUACUUGGGUCUGCGGGGAGCGGGAAAUGAUGAAGCGCCAGGAUCAGGGUUAAGGUAAGUAGCACUGUUUUUAGGCUUUGCAGAUCCGGGACCGAGGAAACGCACCAGAGAUGGACGAGGCACUGGCGGGUAAGGUUUUGGGAAAGAAUCCCGUCUCCCCUAAAUUGCCCUACUUGGGCGGCGGGGAGCGGGGAAUGCACGGGCCUUCGCCCACUGGACACGCUCCCCCGGUCCCAGAAGACACUUAUUUGUGUUAUGAAUUAAAUUGUUUUUAAUAAAUUAGUUUUAGUGUGUUGUGUAAUUCAUAUUUGUUAAAUUAAUCCAUUUUUUUAGGUUUUUAACUGUUGUUUACACACAAACACACAAACAAACAAACAUACAUGAACACUACUUGAACUAUGUAUAUGAUGUGUGCACCGCGACGACGUUUCGACCUAGUUUGGUCUUCAUCAGGUCUAUGCACACAUAAUGGCUGCUGGGCCCCAAUUCAUAGGGGUUCACCCAGCAAGCAGCCAAAAGAAAAUGAAUUUUCCCUGUCCUGUAUUCCCUUUUAUACCCUUUGGACAAGAAAUUAACUGAAUUUCUCUCGGAUAUUUAGUUUAAAUUCAACUUUAUUUAGUUUGUAAAUGUUAACCCUAUAAUCGCUGUUUGGUUUUAAACUGACCAGUAGAGUUAGGGUUAGGGUCAGUAUUAGGGUUAGGGUUCAAAUCCGAGGGUUAGGGUUAGGGUUAGGGUUAGGGUUAAGGCCACGAUUGGGGCUAGAUGGCGCUAGGGUUAGGGUUAGGGCCCUUUCAUAAUGGUUAGGGUUAGGGCCAGAGCCACGGCUGGGGCUAGAAAUGAAUCCCGUCUCUCCUAUAGUGACCCUACUUGGGUCUGCGGGGAGCGGGAUAGCACUAGGGUUAGGGUUAGGGCCCUCAUAAUGGUUAGGGUUAGGGCCAGGUCCACGGUUGGGGCUAGAAAUGAUUCCCGUCUCUCCUAACGUGACCCUACUUGGGUCUGCGGGGAGCGGGAAAUGAUGAAGCGCCAGGAUCAGGGUUAAGGUAAAUAGCACUGUUUUUAGGCUUUGCAGAUCCGGGACCGAGGAAACGCACCAGAGAUGGACGAGGCACUGGCGGGUAAGGUUUUGGGAAAGAAUCCCGUCUCCCCUAAAUUGCCCUACUUGGGUCGGCGGGGAGCGGGGAAUGCACGGGCCUUCGCCCACUGGACACGCUCCCCCGGUCCCAGAAGACACUUAUUUGUGUUAUGAAUUAAAUUGUUUUUAAUAAAUUAGUUUUAGUGUGUUGUGUAAUUCAUAUUUGUUAAAUUAAUCCAUUUUUUUAGGUUUUUAACUGUUGUUUACACACAAACACACAAACAAACAAACAUACAUGAACACUACUUGAACUAUGUAUAUGAUGUGUGCACCGCGACGACGUUUCGACCUAGUUUGGUCUUCAUCAGGUCUAUGCACACAUAAUGGCUGCUGGGCCCCAAUUCAUAGGGGUUCACCCAGCAAGCAGCCAAAAGAAAAUGAAUUUUCCCUGUCCUGUAUUCCCUUUUAUACCCUUUGGACAAGAAAUUAACUGAAUUUCUCUCGGAUAUUUAGUUUAAAUUCAACUUUAUUUAGUUUGUAAAUGUUAACCCUAUAAUCGCUGUUUGGUUUUAAACUGACCAGUAGAGUUAGGGUUAGGGUCAGUAUUAGGGUUAGGGUUCAAAUCCGAGGGUUAGGGUUAGGGUUAGGGUUAGGGUUAAGGCCACGAUUGGGGCUAGAUGGCGCUAGGGUUAGGGUUAGGGCCCUUUCAUAAUGGUUAGGGUUAGGGCCAGAGCCACGGCUGGGGCUAGAAAUGAAUCCCGUCUCUCCUAUAGUGACCCUACUUGGGUCUGCGGGGAGCGGGAUAGCACUAGGGUUAGGGUUAGGGCCCUCAUAAUGGUUAGGGUUAGGGCCAGGUCCACGGUUGGGGCUAGAAAUGAUUCCCGUCUCUCCUAACGUGACCCUACUUGGGUCUGCGGGGAGCGGGAAAUGAUGAAGCGCCAGGAUCAGGGUUAAGGUAAGUAGCACUGUUUUUAGGCUUUGCAGAUCCGGGACCGAGGAAACGCACCAGAGAUGGACGAGGCACUGGCGGGUAAGGUUUUGGGAAAGAAUCCCGUCUCCCCUAAAUUGCCCUACUUGGGUCGGCGGGGAGCGGGGAAUGCACGGGCCUUCGCCCACUGGACACGCUCCCCCGGUCCCAGAAGACACUUAUUUGUGUUAUGAAUUAAAUUGUUUUUAAUAAAUUAGUUUUAGUGUGUUGUGUAAUUCAUAUUUGUUAAAUUAAUCCAUUUUUUUAGGUUUUUAACUGUUGUUUACACACAAACACACAAACAAACAAACAUACAUGAACACUACUUGAACUAUGUAUAUGAUGUGUGCACCGCGACGACGUUUCGACCUAGUUUGGUCUUCAUCAGGUCUAUGCACACAUAAUGGCUGCUGGGCCCCAAUUCAUAGGGGUUCACCCAGCAAGCAGCCAAAAGAAAAUGAAUUUUCCCUGUCCUGUAUUCCCUUUUAUACCCUUUGGACAAGAAAUUAACUGAAUUUCUCUCGGAUAUUUAGUUUAAAUUCAACUUUAUUUAGUUUGUAAAUGUUAACCCUAUAAUCGCUGUUUGGUUUUAAACUGACCAGUAGAGUUAGGGUUAGGGUCAGUAUUAGGGUUAGGGUUCAAAUCCGAGGGUUAGGGUUAGGGUUAGGGUUAGGGUUAAGGCCACGAUUGGGGCUAGAUGGCGCUAGGGUUAGGGUUAGGGCCCUUUCAUAAUGGUUAGGGUUAGGGCCAGAGCCACGGCUGGGGCUAGAAAUGAAUCCCGUCUCUCCUAUAGUGACCCUACUUGGGUCUGCGGGGAGCGGGAUAGCACUAGGGUUAGGGUUAGGGCCCUCAUAAUGGUUAGGGUUAGGGCCAGGUCCACGGUUGGGCUAGAAAUGAUCUCUGGGGCUCUAACGUGACCCUACUUGG